rnacentral:rRNA from 1 species
AAAAAAAAUUGCAUAUCAAAAAGCGGAGGAAAAGAAACCAACAGGGAUUGCCCCAGUAACGGCGAGUGAAGCGGCAAGAGCUCAAAUUUGAAAUCUGGCCUCCCCCGGGGGCCCGAGUUGUAAUUUGCAGAGGAUGUUUCGGGUGCGGCCGCCGUCUAAGUUCCUUGGAACAGGACGUCAGAGAGGGUGAGAAUCCCGUCUUGGGCGGGCGGUCCGCGCCCGUGUGAAGCUCCUUCGACGAGUCGAGUUGUUUGGGAAUGCAGCUCUAAGCGGGUGGUAAAUUUCAUCUAAAGCUAAAUAUUGGCCGGAGACCGAUAGCGCACAAGUAGAGUGAUCGAAAGGUUAAAAGCACCUUGAAAAGGGAGUUAAACAGCACGUGAAAUUGUUGAAAGGGAAGCGCUUGCGGCCAGACUCGGGGGCGGGGUUCAGCGGGUGCUCGUCGCCCGUGUAUUCCUCGUUUCCCGGGCCAGCAUCAGUUUCGACGGCCGGUCAAAGGCCCCCGGAAUGUGUCGUCUCUCGGGACGUCUUAUAGCCGGGGGUGCAAUGCGGCCCGUCGGGACUGAGGAACGCGCUCCGGGCUCGGGAUGC